CCCAGGAGGUGAUACCCCGGGGCCGUGGGUGGGUGCUGUUUCUCACUUCAGUCCUGUGGUUAUUCUGUCUCAUCGCCAGACCCUGAAGAUCUUGAAGGGACAAAGGUCUAAGCAUCCUGUUCACUGCAGCAGAGCGUCUGCCCCGAGAAUGAUGUGAGGAGCCGGUAAACAAGCUUUACUUCUCCUGCACCACUGAUGGACAGCAUCGUGGCAGCAUGUAUCAAAGUGAAAAAUCCUUACAAUGCUAGGGUCCUCAGUUGACACUCCAAUCCCCCACAUCGGUAGGCAUCAUCACUGCCCUUCAGCCCCUUCGUCCACUCGGUGUAUCUUCCCAGUACUCACUGCCCACAGCAGCCCACUCUGAUUCCUUCUUCCACUUUCCAGCCCCAGCAGAGCACCAUCUGGGAUAGAUCUCUCCACGGCCUAGCCCGAACACUGGCACUGGUUCU